ACAACACUUGUGACAUCACAGAAAUAGCUAGGGCUCUCCAGGAUACAAGAGACAUUUCAGGCAGUUCCUAAUGAUGAUGUCACUGAGAGAUGCCAUGGCCUACCUGCUAAACAGCUUUCCUUACAUUGAACAGAUUUGACCAUGCCUUUUCCAGACAUCAGUAAAGCAAAUGACCACAUGGAGUAUCGAAUUUGUUCUCUUGACCUUUUUGAUAUCAGUACUACAGUAUCAACCUUCCAGUGUCCCAGAUAACAGGGCCAGACAAAAACUGCACUAAAUGAAUGCAAAUCAUGGAGGAGUUUACUCUGAGCUGAAGACACAAUACCUGUCUUUCCCUUCUUCCUUAGAAACUUUUUCUUCUGUGUGAUAAAGAAUAAGAGUCAUGUGCUCUCAGGUAAACAACUAUGCCCUUCCUAACUCAUGGAUUUUGUAAGAAAUUAAUGAUAUAAACUCUCUGAUGUCCAGGAACCAUAACAAGCAUGGAAAUCCAGAUGCUUCUGAGAGGCUCACAACUCCUGAUACCCGUAUGUGGAAGGCUCAGAUCAAGGCUAUCUCUUCAGAGAAUUCACUCAAUCCCAACGCAGGACUCACCAAGCUUUCCCAUAGACCAUGUAUUUCUUCCGUUUUUUUACAAAGACAGAAGGGCAGCUUCCUUUUCCCCAUCUCUGAUAUCAUCUUCCUCUUUGUUCUCCCUCCCAAAUGGCUGUUUACUCUGAAUUAGGAGCCAAUUAGUAAACCCUAGGGGCACUGAAGGAAUAUCUGAAAGGCAGUUGCAGUCAGGACAACACUUGUGACAUCACAAAAGAAGCUAGGUCUCUGCAGGAUACAAGAGAUUUUUCAGGGAGGGCCUAAUGAUGAUAACACUGAGAAUUGCAAUGGCCUACCUGCUGAACUGCUAUAUUUACAUUGACCACAUUCGAGGGUGACCUUUACAAGAGAGUCUACUGUGACACAGGAGAAACCUUUAAAUACUACAUCUCUCUAAAACUAUAGAAUUCUCUUUGUUCAUUAUUGGUUACAUGCUCUGAAUAGAGAAAGAAAGGGCCUUGGUAUGGGUACAAAGGAUCUAGGAACAUGGAGUGGAAGAGAUUGUUCUGAAUAAUUAUUUUAUUCCCAGGUCCAUUCCUGUGCCGUACAAUUCAAUUUCCUGGUAUUUCUCUGUUUCCCAAGGGCCAGUAUUUUCCCUAUAGACCUUUAAUUGAAUGUAUAUUUUAUUACAUUUUCUUAUUGUACAUUCAUUGAUAGGGGACUUUAUAAUAUUCCUUAAUAUGUACUCAUAAAUUCAGUUUUCCUUUUCAA